rnacentral:rRNA from 1 species
AGAGUUUGAUCCUGGCUCAGAACGAACGCUGGCGGCGUGCUUAACACAUGCAAGUCGAGCGAGAAAGGGGGGGCAACCCCCUGAGUAGAGCGGCGCACGGGUGAGUAACGCGUGGGUAACCUACCCCCAGGCGGGGGAUAACUACUCGAAAGGUGGGCUAAUACCGGAUAAUGCUGUUUUUACCUCGGUGAGACAGCCAAAGGGGGCCUCUACUUGUAAGCUCUCGCUUAAGGAUGAGUCCGCGUACCAUUAGCUAGUUGGUAGGGUAAAAGCCUACCAAGGCGACGAUGGUUAGCUGGUCUGAGAGGAUGAUCAGCCACACUGGGACUUAGACACGGCCCAGACUCCUACGGGAGGCAGCAGUGGGGAAUAUUGGACAAUGGGGGCAACCCUGAUCCAGCAAUGCCGCGUGAGUGAUGAAGGCCUUAGGGUUGUAAAGCUCUUUUACCGGGGACGAUGAUGACGGUACCCGGAGAAUAAGCCCCGGCUAACUUCGUGCCAGCAGCCGCGGUAAUACGAAGGGGGCGAGCGUUGUUCGGAGUUACUGGGCGUAAAGGGCGCGUAGGCGGCGCUCCAAGUUAGGCGUGAAAGCCCCGGGCUCAACCUGGGAAUAGCGCUUAAGACUGGAGUGCUUGAGUGCGGGAGAGGUGAGUGGAAUUCCGCGUGUAGCAGUGAAAUGCGUAGAUAUGCGGAGGAACACCGAUGGCGAAGGCAAUCCCCUGGGCCUGCACUGACGCUCAUGCACGAAAGCGUGGGGAGCAAACAGGAUUAGAUACCCUGGUAGUCC